GGGUCAGUAGAUUGGUCGUGCCACUGGUAUGUACUGGUCUUACUGGCUCCUCCUUCCUGAUGAACCGUAAUGCCAUUAAUUUGGUGUUGCGGGGAGACUGGACUGUUACUUUGAAAAAAUUAGAGUGUUUAAAGCAAGUGAAUAACAGCCUGAAUACAUUAGCAUGGAAUAAUAGAAUAG
rnacentral:rRNA from 1 species